CAAAGAGCGUCGCUCUAGGUUCUUUGACUCCUAAACAACAGGGUGCACUGUGAUCUGUGAUGACAAUUAAGUGAAGUGCAAAGAAGAUGCCCCUCCCACCUACGAUAGGAGGCUUGCAGUUAUAGAAGAACAGAAGCAUAGAGCAAAGUAAGAAAAUAGCGAGAAAGUCCAGCCCUUCCCAUUCCAGAGUAUUGUGGAAAUGAGGGAAAGAUGAUGGCAAGUUCUGAUUUCACCUCUCUGGCUUCAGGCAGAAGAGUGCAUGAUGCGAGGACAUUUUAUAUAUUCUCCAACCCCACCUCAGGGCCCAUCAUCACUGGCCACUAAGACUCUUCCUGACUGUACAGGGAGGAGCCAAGGUCAGCCUUAAGAGGUUGAGGUCAUCUUCUGACUUGAAGGCUUUUGACAAGACCCACUUAUUUAUUUGUCCACAGAUAGCUCCAACCAAUUUGUCACAGAGGU